GAGAGGUUCGAGUUCAGUGGUAGGUACAACUAAUUGAUCAUAAUCCAUAACAGAUUUACUUGUUCCUUCUCCACUGCCACUGCUUCAUUUGGCUAGCCAUGA
ensembl:misc_RNA Y_RNA Y RNA